UGGCUCAGAGGUUAAAGCAUCUGCCUCCAAUGCAGGAGACCUGGGUUCGAUCCCUG
rnacentral:tRNA from 1 species